rnacentral:rRNA from 1 species
CAAUAGCGUAUAUUAAAGUUGUUGCGGUUAAAAAGCUCGUAGUUGGAUUUCUGUUAGGGACGACCGGUCCGCACUAUGUGCGUGUAUCUGGCUCGGCCUUGGCAUCCUCCUGGGGAACGGUGCUGCGCUUGAUUGCGUGGUCCGGUAUUCAGGACUUUUACUUUGAGGAAAUUAGAGUGUUUCGACGGCGAGGCAACGUCUUGAAUACAUUAGCAUGGAAUAAUAACAUAGGACCUUGGUUCUAUUUUGUUGGUUUCUAGAGCUGAGGUAAUGAUUAAUAGGGACAAUUGGGGGCGAUUCGUAUUAACGCGUCAGAGGUGGAAUUCUUGGAUUGCGUUACGACGAACUACUGCGAAAGCAUUUGCCAAGGAUGUUUUCAUUGAUCAAGAACGAAAGUUAGGGGAUCGAAGAUGAUUAGAUACCGU